GACGAACGUUGGCGGCGUGCUUAAUACAUGCAAGUCAACUGAACCAGCGGUAGCAAUAUCGCUCUGGCGGUGGCGCCCGGGUGAGUAACACGUAGGUAAUCUGCCUCCAGGUCUGCCAUAACUCCGUGAAACCGCGGCUAAUAACAGCUGAUGCUGCGGCUCGACAUCGAGUCCGUUGUUAAAGCUAUGGUGUCUGAAGAUGAGCCUGGGUCUGAUUAGCUAGUUGGCGGGGUAACGGCCCACCAAGGCAACGAUCAGGAGAUGGUCUGAGAGGAUGAUCAGGCACACUGGAACUGAGACACGGUCCAGACUCCUACGGGAGGCAGAAGUAAGGGAUAUGGGUGAAUGGGGGAAAGCGUGAAGCAGCAACACCGCGGGAGGGACGAAGAGCGUUGGCUUGUAAAACUCUGUAGUGAGAGAAAAAAAUCCCAAUCUGUGGGACAUGAUGGUAUCUCAAAAGUAAGCCCCGGCUAACUACGUG
rnacentral:rRNA from 1 species